rnacentral:rRNA from 1 species
NCCUAUUAGUGGGGGAUAACGGUUGGAAACGACCGCUAAUACCGCAUACGCCCUUCGGGGGAAAGAUUUAUCGCUAAGAGAUGGACCCGCGUUGGAUUAGAUAGUUGGUGAGGUAACGGCUCACCAAGUCAGCGAUCCAUAGCUGGUUUGAGAGGAUGAUCAACCACACUGGGACUGAGACACGGCCCAGACUCCUACGGGAGGCAGCAGUGGGGAAUAUUGGACAAUGGGGGCAACCCUGAUCCAGCCNUGNUGNGUGAGUGAAGAAGGCCUUCGGGUUGUAAAGCUCUUUCAGAUGCGAAGAUGAUGACGGUAACAU